rnacentral:rRNA from 1 species
UACGGAGGGAGCUAGCGUUGUUCGGAAUUACUGGGCGUAAAGCGCACGUAGGCGGCCAUUCAAAUCAGAGGUGAAAGCCCGGGGCUCAACCCCGGAACUGCCUUUGAAACUAGAUGGCUUGAAUCUUGGAGAGGCGAGUGGAAUUCCGAGUGUAGAGGUGAAAUUCGUAGAUAUUCGGAAGAACACCAGUGGCGAAGGCGACUCGCUGGACAAGUAUUGACGCUGAGGUGCGAAAGCGUGGGGAGCAAACAGG